rnacentral:sRNA from 1 species
UACAGGGUAGAGGUACCCUGAAUCACAAAGCAGGUACAGCACAGGCAGUGUCAGUGCAAGCUUCCUCACACUGCCAUACCUGUCCACCUCAUCCUUAUCCUGCAGCAGCCAUUUCUGGGGUAUGAUAAGUCAGUCCUCAUGCUCAUUUGUAGGGUUGGUAUCA